rnacentral:lncRNA from 1 species
GGGAAAAAUAUCUUUUUAUAUUUCCAAAGCAUGAGCUAGGAUAAAAUAAUUUUUUAAAUGACCAGGUAUCAUAAAAGUCUAAGUAUCAUAAUCCCAUUCUAACUGGUAGGCAGCAAAUUCACUCCACCAGGUUUUAUGGCCAAUCAUCUCAAAACAAAAUUUUCUCAUUUAUAAAGUAUGAGUUACUCAUUUCUCUGUGCAUUGACAUCAUAAAGGAAUUUGACUGUAUUAAUUUCCAUUUCAGAUCUAGAGUUUACAUUUUGCCCUCUUGUUUCCAAGUGUUACUAUCUGUAUUCUUUAAGUGUUUCUAUCCUUUGUAUUCGUUCUGUGGAAAAAUCUCAUAUUUUAGUUUAUUUAUUGCCAUUCUUUCUGUAUUUACUGCUGAAAACUGUAACAGUCUAAAGAUUUGUAAAAUGUUAAACAUAGUUCAUUAAAGAUAAGACAUCUGAAAAAAAUUUUAAAACAAAUUUCAAGGAGACAGUCUUACAAGGUCUGUAUCUCUGUGUGCUGUCUAGCAUUGAGAUUUGAGAUUUCCACGUAUCUGAACAAGGAAGCACACAUUUAUCAUGUCCCCAAGACAAGCCUCAGUUCUACACCUUUUGUGCAACAUGGAUGGUUUGGUAAGAUGCAAAAAAAUGAAGAAAGCCCAAAGUCUCACAAAGAUGAGUCUUUUUUGCAGAGUCAAAACCCAGCGAAAAGACAACCCCCAGGAAAAUGUUCAAGUCGACAACAGGACACAAAAAUAAACUGCAUCAUAUGUAGUAUUUAUGAGUUUCAUUUCCACACUGUCCAAUGUAAUUUAUGUUGACCCACUUUGAGAGAAAGUCUAAUGUUAGCCACUGCGCUGUUCUUACACUCAAACCCUGCUGCCCCAACCAGGGUGAGCUCUAUACUGAACUCUUGACCUUUCUAACAAUUAUCCUCGGCAUCCAGACAGCCCCAUCGUCACCUUAAGCCAGCAUGUUACAGGGGCAGCAGCCAGGAAUGCUCUUCCUCUGUUCCCAAAGGGGACCAGAGCGAGGGAGAGGAUCCUGCUUUCCUUUCCAUCUGGUUUCUCCAAUAAAAGAAGGAAAAAAAGAUAAAUAGAAAUGAAAAGUAUACAAUUAAAAAAAUUACAUUUAACUUCCUUUUGCUAAUGUCUGUAAGAUGAUUUUUGGCCUGGCAGGAGACUCCAGAUGGGCCGUAUAAUGAAUAUAAUUUAAUACGGAGAACUGGAGUUCACAGAAACACAUUUUUCCAAGUCAGAAGGUAGUAGGUCGUCUCACACUGUUUAAUGCAGAACACCGGGACAAGUCACUGCAUUUCUUUUCUUAUUGCACAUUGGCCUUUAAACCUAAUGUUGGUGCAGCCAGACCCAAAGCCAUCAAAACCAGAAGCUGUCACUGUCUGAGGCGGAGCUGGCACCAGUGCACACUUACCCAAAAGGCCAGAGACCACUAACUGCUCAAUGUGUUUUUCCUCCAGGGUCGCAGGAUUUAUACUACCAAUUAAGGCCAUAAUGAGUGCCCCAAGUUGACCUCCUAGGAGCAAGAAUUAAUUAAGCACAGUAUUUCUUAGUAAGGAAUGACAUUUUUCCAAAGGAGUUAUACAAGGUAGCCAUGUUUCCUGAUAUUACGGUGCUCCCAUGCAUGAUUCCUAAUUGUUAACACAAACAGAACAGUCCAAGAACACAGUUUAGUUUAUGUUUUUAAUUUGACAAUAAAAGAAAACGAUUUUUAC